UACGUAGGGGCCUAGCGUUGUCCGGAUUUAUUGGGCGUAAAGAGCUCGUAGGCGGUUCGGCAAGUCGGAUGUGAAAUCUCCACGCUCAACGUGGAGGGGCCAUUCGAAACUGCCGUGACUCGAGUCCGGUAGGGGAGUGUGGAAUUCCCGGUGUAGCGGUGAAAUGCGCAGAUAUCGGGAGGAACACCGGUGGCGAAGGCGGCAUCCUGGACCGGCAUUGACGCUGAGGAGCGAAAGCCAGGGGAGCAAACGGG
rnacentral:rRNA from 1 species